GCUGCUCCACUCAGACGUAACCCUUCUGGUGCUCCCCGUUCCAGGCUUCCACCAUGCCGCUCCUGAAGACAUAUUAAUAACAAAGAUCCUGGGGAUACAGCGGGGCAGCCUACACUGCAAAUUGGAGCUGCCUCCAUACUGCUUUACUGAUGCCAGCUGGAACAGCCUCCAGGAACUGUCCUGCUAAACAAGGAUUGCAGGAGUGCGCUGCACUCUGGCUCACCCCAUCAUGGUCCUGAUGCAGCCUGAAGCUGGUGGGGAGGAAACAGGUGGCAAGUACCUAGCAGUGCUGUCAGCUGUCAUGAUUUUCCUGCCAGUGUUGCAGUUUGUGGGCUUCUGUUUAAAAUUCCAGUUCCCGUAAUAUAGGAGAAUCUCACUUUUCAGUUAAUAAAAAAAGCACCUGUCUCUUC